rnacentral:rRNA from 1 species
AGUGAACGCUGGCGGUAGGCCUAACACAUGCAAGUCGAACGGCAGCACAGUAAGAGCUUGCUCUUACGGGUGGCGAGUGGCGGCCGGGUGAGGAAUAAAUCGGAAUUUACUUUUUCGUGGGGGAUAACGUAGGGAAACUUACGCUAAUACCGCAUACGACCUACGGGUGAAAGCAGGGGAUCUUCGGAACUUGCGCGAUUGAAUGAGCCGAUGUCGGAUUAGCUAGUUGGCGGGGUAAAGGCCCACCAAGGCGACGAUCCGUAGCUGGUCUGAGAGGAUGAUCAGCCACACUGGAACUGAGACACGGUCCAGACUCCUACGGGAGGCAGCAGUGGGGAAUAGUGGACAAUGGGCGCAAGCCUGAUCCAGCCAUACCGCGUGGGUGAAGAAGGCCUUCGGGUUGUAAAGCCCUUUUGUUGGGAAAGAAAAGCAGCAGGUUAAUACCCCGCUGUUCUGACGGUACCCAAAGAAUAAGCACCGGCUAACUUCGUG